CACAGAUGCACACAGAGACAGAGGUAACCAGAAGCAGUCGAGGAGAGAAGCACUGAACGCACAUGCAGCACUGUGACCGCCUAUGAUGGGGAAGAAAGUGCCCAGCGACACAGCAAGAAAGACGCCAGACAGCCCCACAGAAAUCAGACCCAUUUUCACCUCGAGUUGCCAGUCUACCUUGCACAAUGGAGCUCAAAUUUUCUCAAUACACAGGUAUUUGAACUUUACUCUCCCAGUGGCUGCAGGUUUUCCCAGGGGGCACUGCCCGGCCUCAUGGGCAUCCGCUCUGGACAUCUUUCUCCGCCUGGGAUGCCCACCACCGGACCCAUUUCUGCCACAGUCUCCCGAGCUCUCGUCCUUCUACUCAGUGUCCAACUGCCCCCAGCCACCUGCCCCGCCCCCUUCCUCUGUCGCAUGUCUAUCUCAUCCCUCUCCCAACACGCAAACCUCAUCGCGGAAAAGUUGGCUACUUCAGAAAUAGUCUAGAAAAAUUAGUUGCCCGUGCAGGGGAAAAUUACACCUCCUUCCUUCAAAUCACAAAAAUAAAUCCAAAGUGACUUCAUAUUUUUUUUUUCCUGAUACCAGGAAUUGAACUCACGACCUUGCGCUUGCCGGGCAGACGCUGUGCCGCUGAGCUAAAUCCCCAGCCCCUAUGACUUCAUAUUUUAAACUUCAAAAAUAAAAUUUUAGAGCAUUAGAAGAAAAAAUGAGAGACUAUUUUUCCUAAGUGAGCAGUAGGGAUAGACUUUCUAAGUAAGGCAUCAACUUCAGGGCUCAAAAGGAAAAUAAUAAUUACUUUAAAAUUAAACAUUUCUGGAGCUGAGUGUGGUGGUGCAUGCCUGUCAUCCCAGCACUCGGGAGGCUGAGGCAGGAGGAUCGUUGUGAGUUUGAGACCAGCCUGGGCUACAAAGUGAGCUCAAGGCCAGCCUGAACUGCAUAGCGACACCCUGUCUCCAAAAGACAAAAAACAAAUUAAUUAAUUAAAUUAAUUAAUUAAUUAAUUAAUUAAAUUAAACAUUUCUACAAUAUAAAAGACAUGGUGAACAAAGUAAAAAAGAUAAGGGAGGAGAAGUAGCACAAAUAUUAAAAGUGUAAAAUCCAGGAUACUAGUUCAACUCUACUGAACAGAAAAAAAUGAAGGGAAGGAAAGGAGAUAAAAGGAAGGAGGGAGAUGUGGACAAAAAGGAUGAGUGGAUAAUUUAUAAAAGAACAAUUAAUAGACCUCACUGGCCUUCUUUUUUUUUUAUUUUAAAGAGUAAAAGAAGGAUAACAUAAUAAUAGGAGGGGCUUACCAAAUUACAGACAAAGUGGUAGGAAAUUAUCAAUGGUUAUUGUUUUACGUAUUGUUAUCUAUAAGAUAGUUUCUCAGGAAAACAAAUAGACAAAUGAUAGUGAGUUACAGACAAAAGAGGUAGGAGAUUAUCAAUAGUUGUUGUACUAUACUUAGGUAUCUUCAAAGUGGCUUCUAAAGAAUAUAAAUAGAACUAUACUUGAGUGACCUACUGAAUAAUCAUUCAAUAAUUCUCAAUGGUUGUUGUAGGAAACACAUAAUAAUAAACAUGGAUCCAUUUAUGAAAUAGGAUAGGAACAAUACAAACAUUAGAGAGUUAUGGAUAGAUUAGUAGGAAAAUAUCAAUGACUGCUAUAAUACAUGGUGGUAUCUUCAAAUCACUGGCCUUCUUUGAAACCAAUUCUCUCCAAAACAAUCUGAUAGUUAAUAUAUUUGUUAUUAAAAAAUCACUUUCUAGAAGCUGAACAUUACACUUCAUAUUUUUUUAACGCAUGGCUACAAUUUUAUUGGAUUUAUGCCAUAAAACUCUUCAGCAGGGAGGGUAAAUUUUAAGUGCAGCCUUAAGUGCGGAGCCCUUUUGUAAAGAGACCCAUUGUGUAUGACUGGCAGGACUACAAGAAAGAAAAGCCAAAGGGUACAACUUCAACUGUACUGUUGUAAAUUUUCAAGGGGAGGAGUUGUGGGACGUUCUUUAGGCAAUCAUCAGGUGCACCCUCAGCGGGAGGCUACCCGUGUUAUUUUCUUCCUGUCUUAACUCCUAAAAUGCCAUACUGUGGUGGAGACAGUCACCAGAGAGAGUCACAGGGCACCCACACAACCUCUUCCCUGCCCUGGGGCAGCUAAGCCUCAGGGCACCUCCACCCUUAGGGCACCUUUCACCUGGUGCUUUUAUAUUUUCUUUAUAUAGUACAUUACCUUAAAGUAACAAGCCUGGAUCUCCAUCAUACAGACAUAACUGUUUUUUACAUUGUUUUGGCUCUGCUUUAAACAAGGCCCACAAUUUUACAGCAAAAGAAUUAAACAUUUAGAAGCUGGCACUUGUAGCAAAUGAUGGUGAUCUGGGGGCCCUGAUGGCAGGUGCACCCCAAACCACCCCCGCUGCCCCCCUGGCACCCCCUGUGCCCCAGAAACACCUAGCAGGAGCUCAGCAAGUGGGCACCUGCCCUCCAGGUCGCCUCCAGUUCUGAGUCCUCCCUCCCCACCUCCUGCCUUUGAAGAUACAGUUUUACUCUCGACAAAUACUCAUCGCUGAAGGCUACCCCUGCUACUAAAAUAACUUUCCAUGAAAUACGCUGAAAGAAACUUCUUGACUGUAAAUGCCAUGAUAUUAUAAGAAAUGCCCGUGUUUGUGUGCGGUUACGUCUCGUGUAACUGACUCCAUGGGGUUUUCGAGGUGAUAAUGACUCGUUUUUGUCAUUUCCAAAACCCAACAUUCUUUCACUAUAAUGUGGCACCUUCUCAGUUCUUUAAACUAUUUUUCUCUUCCAGUUCUCAUGAACUGAUGGUUCCUGUUUUUCUGAACUGAUUGUCAAAGCCACCUUCUGCUGGUCUCCCUGCCACCCUGGUUCUAUAACUACCAAAGAGACCAAAAGUCCCUCCAUACGCUGUGACUUUGAAGCCCCCGAGAACCUCAGUCCCCUCUCUGUUAAGUCAUCAUGUGGGGUGAUGCUUGAGAACAACAGAGAAAGGGAAAAGAGCAGGAAAAGUGGGUGAAAUGUGGGUGAAAGUUCCGACCGCCUGCACCCUGAGCCUGGGGAUGACAGCCCCCAAAGCUUCCUUCACGGGGACACACUCUUGUGGCCACCAGCGUGUGGGACACAUCAUAGAUAAGAAUGAAGCCGGUCUUUUUUUUUUUGGCAAAUGUAAAGACCGACUUCCAAUUUUGAACGUCAUUUUCUACAACUCAGGAAAAGUUAAAAUGAAAUGAGAACAUUUGACUCAUGUAAAUCAAAAAAGGAUUUCUUGCUUAUGGUGGAGUCCCUUUUAUCGGCAGACAUUCCUGAGUGGCCGGUCCAAGCUAGCAGGACCUGGGAGUGGUGAGCCUGCUCCUGGCAGCCCCCUUUAAUGCCUGUAAGGUGCUAACGCUGUGUUCAUUUGUAGGUGCUGCCAUAUAAAGGGCCACAAAUGAAGUGGCGCAAGCCCAGACAUUUACUGUGUUGCAAUCCUGAAGGCUGGAAGUUGAACUCAGAGGUUCCGUGGGACUGGGCUUCCUCAGAAGGGAGGGUCUGCUCCAGGCUUCUCUCUUGGCUCCUGGCUGUAUUAACUCCGUCUUCACACAGCGCUCUCCCUGAGGUGCACUUGUCUCUACAUUUCCUCUGCUUGUAAGGACACCAGCCACCUGAGUGGACUAGAGGGGGGUCAGGGACCCUCUCUAGUAUGUCCGCAUCCUAACUAAUUGCUUCUGUAAUGACCCCGUUGCCUAAUAAGGUCACAUUCUGAGCAUGAAUUUGGGGAGACCCAAGUGAACAUGGGGCCCACUGUUAGAUGACUCACAGAGUGUGGACUCCUACUCACUUUCUAUGUUGUUUCCUCUGCCAUUCUCUCCCCGAUCUAGAAACACGGUGCCCUCCCAUUAAGCACCAGUCACUUGCUUUCUUUUCUGUGUCAAUGUCUCUACUAAAAAGAAGCCAAAUUAAAGGUUGCUAAAAGCAGGCUGCUCCAGGUAGCUGAAAAAUCCCGCUGCUGAUUUAAAGGUCUACUGAGGACUGGUCCUCACGGAGGACCCGCCACCCCACCUGGCAUCUGGAAGGGACAGGUCUGACCAGGUGGGGCCUGGGCUGUUGCACCUCAGCAAAUAUCAGCCACCCUGGGCCUUUGUGUCACCUUCUGGCCCUAAUAGUGCUUUAAGGUGGAAUCCAGGAAGCACUAUAGAUCCCAGAGGCCGCUGCUGUGAGGACAGCUGUCCCCUCCCCCCAUAUGGGGUACCAUGUGCACCCAAACAUCCACUGGAGGCAGGCCAAGCGGCCAGGGACCUGGAGGAGGAGCCUGUACAAGUCAGCUUGGCUACUACCACCACAAGGGCACCUACUGUCACUAGGGAGCUUCAUUUCAAGUGUUCCUGAAAUUUCCUCUUUUGAACACCCAAUGUCUACCUCCUCAUCCACCUGUUUUAUAAAUGUAAUUUGGCUUCAGGGUGACUCUGGGGAUCUGGGACCCUCAUGAAGUACACAGAGUCCCAAUCACUGCUCUCAUACCAAACUAUCAC
rnacentral:lncRNA from 1 species